rnacentral:rRNA from 1 species
UACGUAGGGUGCGAGCGUUAAUCGGAAUUACUGGGCGUAAAGCAUGCGCAGGCGGUUCGCCAAGUCAGGUGUGAAAUCCCCGGGCUUAACCUGGGAAUUGCGCUUGAAACUAGCGGGCUUGAGUGUGGCAGAGGGGGGUGGAAUUCCACGUGUAGCAGUGAAAUGCGUAGAUAUACGGAGGAACACCUGCGGCGAAGGCGGGUAGCUGGGCCUUACCUGACGCUCAGGCGCGAAAGCUAGGGGAGCGAACAGG